GUCCUACGGGAGGCAGCAGUGAGGAAUAUUGGUCAAUGGUCGGGAGACUGAACCAGCCAAGCCGCGUGAGGGAUGAAGGUACAGAGUAUCGUAAACCUCUUUUGUCAGGGAACAAAGGCGGGGACGCGUCCCCGGAUGAGUGUACCUGAAGAGAAAGCAUCGGCUAACUCCGUGCCAGCAGCCGCGGUAAUACGGAUGGAGCAAGCGUUAUCCGGAUUUACUGGGUGUAAAGGGAGCGUAGGCGGUAAGGCAAGUCUGAUGUGAAAGGCCAGGGCUCAACCCUGGGACUGCAUUGGAAACUGUUU
rnacentral:rRNA from 1 species